ACACCGAUCUGCGCCCUGUCACUGGUUUAGGAAGCUGAGCCCCAGCCGCUGAGCCGUUUUCUACCGGCUGAAGCACGCAUGCUUCCUUUGCUUCCUUUGCUUCUGCAAGGGAACAAUGAGCAAGUGCAUGUGUGGGAACCCUCCUGCCUGCUGGGCGCUCAGCUAGGAGUCCCAGAAUACCAGACACCAUUAUAUUCAAAUACCACAAAAGAUGUGAGAAUUCAAACUGAGCCAUAGCUCCAUCUCCUGGAAGUGUAUAUCAGCAGCAACAAGAGUAAAGACCCAGAGGCAUGAGAAACACUUCCUCACUGAAGCACUCACGUUCCGACUGUGUGCAAAAGACCUUUUGUGUCUCACUCACUGAGGGAGAUUGUUCUUCACUCAAUCAAUGAGAAGAACAGACGUCUUAGAAAACCUUCAGUACCUGGGGGAAAUGAAUGAGCUCAAACACAAGGGAAAGUCAGCCCGUGUUCAAGAUAAGCCCAUCUCAGGAAGGCAGGCACCAUGCUCCUGAGACUACUUUACCCCCAGAUAAGAAAGCCCUUAUUGAUAAGCCAAAAUCACAGAUUAUUUUAUUAAGCUCAUAUUUUAAAAGAAUGCAAAGCUUCCUUUAAUGUUACUUUCCAUUAUAAAUGUAAAAUUACAGUUUGCACAUAAUAUCUGGAUUCUGGUUAACUAUUUUCCAUACUGUAUUUUGCAAUUGCAUAUCUGCAUUUCUAUUUUUAUAUUAAAAAAUAAAUAGGGUUAUGCAAAUAAUAUUUCUAAUUGUGCAUAUUUAUGUAUUUAUAUUAAGUUUUAGUAUGUCUGCUUGCUCACAUAAUUUAUCUUCUCUUUAUGUAUAAUUUCAUUUACUUACAAUAACUAAUUAUUAGGGAAACAAAUAAAAUCUUUGAGAAAUUACCAGAGGUUAAUUCAUAAGUGCUUUAUCUUGCUUCACAGAUAAUCAUAUACUUUAUUUCUAAACUUUGAAAUGUUAUUGUCCAUAUUGUUUCUUCGUACUUACAAAAGUAAGAAAUUGGAUUGUAAUGUUUCCAAUUUAUGUUGUCAUGCUUUCCUCUCUUUAAUAUAACUUGAGUUUAUGUAAAGUUUGAGCGGUUCAAGUUAUUUCCAAAAAUAUAAUAGGAGCCCCACCCUUCUCAGUUCUUUCACACUAACACUUUUAUUGACACAUUUGGAAUGGGGAAGGAUGUAAGCCACACUAGUCAAUUUGGAUCAGCUGUUUAUUUACAAUUUACUCCAAAGAUUUAAGUAAGCAAAGUCAGUGAGCAAUUGAAAUUGUUUUCCUACUCUCUUUUAUUCUUUUUUUUUUUAAAAAAAAAAAAAAACAA
ensembl:lncRNA LINC02500 long intergenic non-protein coding RNA 2500